AGGACGAACGCUGGCGGCGUGCUUAACACAUGCAAGUCGAGCGGAAAGGCCUUUCGGGGUACUCGAGCGGCGAACGGGUGAGUAACACGUGAGUGAUCUGCCCAUCGCUUCAGGAUAGCCAUCGGAAACGGUGAUUAAUACUGGAUAUGACAUUCCUUCGCAUGUUGGGGUGUGGAAAGUUUUUUCGGCGGUGGAUGUGCUCGCGGCCUAUCAGCUUGUUGGUGGGGUAAUGGCCUACCAAGGCUUUGACGGGUAGCCGGCCUGAGAGGGUGACCGGCCACGACUGGGACUGAGACACGGCCCAGACUCCUACGGGAGGCAGCAGUGGGAAUUUGGACAAGUGGGGAACCUGAUCAGCCAUCCCGCGUGUGCGAUGGAACGGUCCGUUCGGGUUAGUAAAGCCUAACGUUUUACCCGAGUAUAGUAUAAGUGACG
rnacentral:rRNA from 1 species